UCCACGCCCCCCCCCCCCCCCCCCCCCCCCGUCAAGCCUUUGGCAUCAUUAUCCUCAUCACUAAAUCCUACAGAGUACAGGGCGGAAAGCGGUGCACAC
rnacentral:lncRNA from 1 species